rnacentral:rRNA from 1 species
GGGUUGUGAGGUUAAGCGACUAAGCGUACACGGUGGAUGCCCUGGCAGUCAGAGGCGAUGAAGGACGUGCUAAUCUGCGAAAAGCGACGGCGAGGUGAUAUGAACCUUUGACCCGUCGAUGUCCGAAUGGGGAAACCCAGUGUGAUUCGUCACACUAUCGUUAACUGAAUACAUAGGUUAACGAGGCGAACCGGGGGAACUGAAACAUCUAAGUACCCCGAGGAAAAGAAAUCAACCGAGAUUCCCCCAGUAGCGGCGAGCGAACGGGGAGCAGCCCGGAGUCUGAAUCAGCUUGUGUGUUAGUGGAAGCGUCUGGAAAGUCGCACGGUACAGGGUGACAGUCCCGUACACGAAAAUGCACAGGUUGUGAACUCGAAGAGUAGGGCGGGACACGUGGUAUCCUGUCUGAAUAUGGGGGGACCAUCCUCCAAGGCUAAAUACUCCUGACUGACCGAUAGUGAACCAGUACCGUGAGGGAAAGGCGAAAAGAACCCCGGCGAGGGGAGUGAAAAAGAACCUGAAACCGUGUACGUACAAGCAGUGGGAGCACCUUCGUGGUGUGACUGCGUACCUUUUGUAUAAUGGGUCAGCGACUUAUAUUCUGUAGCAAGGUUAACCGUAUAGGGGAGCCGCAGGGAAACCGAGUCUUAACUGGGCGUUAAGUUGCAGGGUAUAGACCCGAAACCCGGUGAUCUAGCCAUGGGCAGGUUGAAGGUUGGGUAACACUAACUGGAGGACCGAACCGACUAAUGUUGAAAAAUUAGCGGAUGACCUGUGGCUGGGGGUGAAAGGCCAAUCAAACCGGGAGAUAGCUGGUUCUCCCCGAAAGCUAUUUAGGUAGCGCCUCGUGAACUCAUCUUCGGGGGUAGAGCACUGUUUCGGCUAGGGGGCCAUCCCGGCUUACCAACCCGAUGCAAACUACGAAUACCGAAGAAUGUUAUCACGGGAGACACACGGCGGGUGCUAACGUCCGUCGUGAAGAGGGAAACAACCCAGACCGCCAGCUAAGGUCCCAAAGUCAUGGUUAAGUGGGAAACGAUGUGGGAAGGCACAGACAGCCAGGAUGUUGGCUUAGAAGCAGCCAUCAUUUAAAGAAAGCGUAAUAGCUCACUGGUCGAGUCGGCCUGCGCGGAAGAUGUAACGGGGCUAAACCAUGCACCGAAGCUGCGGCAGCGACACUAUGUGUUGUUGGGUAGGGGAGCGUUCUGUAAGCCGUUGAAGGUGUGCUGUGAGGCAUGCUGGAGGUAUCAGAAGUGCGAAUGCUGACAUAAGUAACGAUAAAGCGGGUGAAAAGCCCGCUCGCCGGAAGACCAAGGGUUCCUGUCCAACGUUAAUCGGGGCAGGGUGAGUCGACCCCUAAGGCGAGGCCGAAAGGCGUAGUCGAUGGGAAACAGGUUAAUAUUCCUGUACUUGGUGUUACUGCGAAGGGGGGACGGAGAAGGCUAUGUCAGCCGGGCGACGGUUGUCCCGGUUUAAGCGUGUAGGUGUGUGUUCCAGGCAAAUCCGGUUCACUUUAACACUGAGGCGUGAUGACGAGGCACUACGGUGCUGAAGUGAUAAAUGCCCUGCUUCCAGGAAAAGCCUCUAAGCAUCAGGUAACACGAAAUCGUACCCCAAACCGACACAGGUGGUCAGGUAGAGAAUACCAAGGCGCUUGAGAGAACUCGGGUGAAGGAACUAGGCAAAAUGGUGCCGUAACUUCGGGAGAAGGCACGCUGAUAUGUAGGUGAAGUCCCUGCGGACGGAGCUGAAAUCAGUCGAAGAUACCAGCUGGCUGCAACUGUUUAUUAAAAACACAGCACUGUGCAAACACGAAAGUGGACGUAUACGGUGUGACGCCUGCCCGGUGCCGGAAGGUUAAUUGAUGGGGUUAGCGGCAACGCGAAGCUCUUGAUCGAAGCCCCGGUAAACGGCGGCCGUAACUAUAACGGUCCUAAGGUAGCGAAAUUCCUUGUCGGGUAAGUUCCGACCUGCACGAAUGGCGUAAUGAUGGCCAGGCUGUCUCCACCCGAGACUCAGUGAAAUUGAACUCGCUGUGAAGAUGCAGUGUACCCGCGGCAAGACGGAAAGACCCCGUGAACCUUUACUAUAGCUUGACACUGAACACUGGUCCUUGAUGUGUAGGAUAGGUGGGAGGCUUUGAAGCGUGGACGCCAGUCUGCGUGGAGCCGUCCUUGAAAUACCACCCUUUAAUGGCUGGUGUUCUAACGUGGACCCGUAAUCCGGGUUGCGGACAGUGUCUGGUGGGUAGUUUGACUGGGGCGGUCUCCUCCCAAAGAGUAACGGAGGAGCACGAAGGUUAGCUAAUCCUGGUCGGACAUCAGGAGGUUAGUGCAAUGGCAUAAGCUAGCUUGACUGCGAGAGUGACGGCUCGAGCAGGUGCGAAAGCAGGUCAUAGUGAUCCGGUGGUUCUGAAUGGAAGGGCCAUCGCUCAACGGAUAAAAGGUACUCCGGGGAUAACAGGCUGAUACCGCCCAAGAGUUCAUAUCGACGGCGGUGUUUGGCACCUCGAUGUCGGCUCAUCACAUCCUGGGGCUGAAGUAGGUCCCAAGGGUAUGGCUGUUCGCCAUUUAAAGUGGUACGCGAGCUGGGUUUAGAACGUCGUGAGACAGUUCGGUCCCUAUCUGCCGUGGGCGCUGGAGAAUUGAGGGGGGCUGCUCCUAGUACGAGAGGACCGGAGUGGACGCAUCACUGGUGUUCGGGUUGUCAUGCCAAUGGCACUGCCCGGUAGCUAAAUGCGGAAGAGAUAAGUGCUGAAAGCAUCUAAGCACGAAACUUGCCCCGAGAUGAGUUCUCCCUGAGACUUUAAGUCUCCUGAAGGAACGUUGAAGACGACGACGUUGAUAGGCCGGGUGUGUAAGCGCAGCGAUGCGUUGAGCUAACCGGUACUAAUGAACCGUGAGGCUUAACCUUACAACGCCGAAGCUGUU